rnacentral:rRNA from 1 species
AUACGGAGGGGGCUAGUGUUGUUCGGAUUUACUGGGCGUAAAGCGCGCGUAGGCGGUAUAUCAAGUUAGGCGUGAAAGCCCCGGGCUCAACCCGGGAACUGCGCUUAUUACUGAUAAACUAGAGUCCGGGAGAGGGUGGCGGAAUUCCCAGUGUAGAGGUGAAAUUCGUAGAUAUUAGGAAGAACACCAGUUGCGAAGGCGGCCACCUGGACCGGUACUGACGCUGAGGUGCGAAAGCGUGGGGAGCAAACAGGAUUAGAAACCCCAGUAGUCC